UGGACCCGGCGCCGUGCCCCCAGAUCUGCAUCGGAAUGCAGAAAAGAUCUUAAAAAAAAAAAAAAAAAGUUUUGAAUUCCUCAAUGAUUUUUCUUCUGGAAAGGCAGCUUAGGAUAAUUAUUUCAGCUUUAUUGAGGGCAGAUUAGUUGAAGUCUGGGCGCUGCGUUUCAAUACGCGUUGUACACGGGCCGACAAUGUGG
rnacentral:lncRNA from 1 species